AUUGAACGCUGGCGGCAGGCUUAACACAUGCAAGUCGAGCGAGCGGCGGACGGGUGAGUAAUGUCUGGGAAACUGCCUGAUGGAGGGGGAUAACUACUGGAAACGGUAGCUAUACCGCAUACCAUCAGAUGUGCCCAGAUGGGAUUAGCUAGUAUGUGGGGUAUUGGCUCAACUCGGCGACGAUCCCUAGCUGGUCUGAGCGGAUGACCAGCGACACUGGAACGGGUACACGGUCCAGGCCCCUACGGGACGCAGCAGUGGGGAAUAUUGCACAAUGGGCGCAAGCCUGAUGCAGCCAUGCCGUGUGUGUGAAGAAGGCCUUCGGGUUGUAAAGCACUUUCAGCGAGGAGGCGUUACUCGCAGAAGAAGCACCGGCUAACUCCGUGCCAGCAGCGGCGGUAAUAC
rnacentral:rRNA from 1 species